rnacentral:rRNA from 1 species
UGCAGCCUACGGGAGGCAGCAGUAGGGAAUCUUCCACAAUGGACGAAAGUCUGAUGGAGCAACGCCGCGUGAGUGAAGAAGGGGUUCGGCUCGUAAAGGUCUGUUGGUAGUGAAGAAAGAUAGAGGUAGUAACUGGCCUUUAUUUGACGGUAAUUACUUAGAAAGUCACGGCUAACUACGUGCCAGCAGCCGCGGUAAUACGUAGGUGGCAAGCGUUGUCCGGAUUUAUUGGGCGUAAAGCG